rnacentral:rRNA from 1 species
AUUGAACGCUGGCGGCAUGCCUUACACAUGCAAGUCGAACGAGUGGCGAACGGGUGAGUAAUACAUCGGAACGUGUCCAGUAGUGGGGGAUAGCCCGGCGAAAGCCGGAUUAAUACCGCAUACUAUUGGGGCGGCCGAUGGCGGAUUAGCCAGGUGGUGGGGUAAAGGCGCACCAAGGCGACGAUCCGUAGCUGGUCUGAGAGGACGACCAGCCACACUGCGACUUGGACACGGCCCAGACUCCUACGGGAGGCCGCAGUGGGGAAUUUUGGACAAUGGGGGCAACCCGGAUCCAGCAAGGCCGCGUGUGUGAAGAAGGCCUUCGGGUGGUAAAGCACUUUUGUCCGGAAAGCUGUCCCGGACGAAUAAGCACCGGCUAACUACGUGCCAGCAGCCGCUGUAAUAC